rnacentral:rRNA from 2 species
AAUCCUUCGGGAGGACGUCAGUGGAACGAGCGGCGGACGGGUGAGUAACACGUGGGCAACCUGCCUGUAAGACUGGGAUAACCCCGGGAAACCGGGACUAAUACCGGAUAACACUUCUUCUCACAUGAGGUGAAGUUGAAAGGUGGCUUCUUGCUACCACUUACAGAUGGGCCCGCGGUGCAUUAGCUAGUUGGUGAGGUAACGGCUCACCAAGGCAACGAUGCAUAGCCGACCUGAGAGGGUGAUCGGCCACACUGGGACUGAGACACGGCCCAAACUCCUACGGGAGGCAGCAGUAGGGAAUCUUCCGCAAUGGACGAAAGUCUGACGGAGCAACGCCGCGUGAACGAAAAAGGUUUUCGGAUCGUAAAGUUCUGUUGUUAGGGAAGAACAAGUACCGUUCAAACAGGGCGGUACCUUGACGGUACCUAUCGAGGAAGCCCCGGCUAACUACGUGCCAGCAGCCGCGGUAAUACGUAGGGGGCAAGCGUUGUCCGGAAUUAUUGGGCGUAAAGCGCGCGUAGGCGGUUCCUUAAGUCUGAUGUGAAAUCUUGCGGCUCAACCGCAAGCGGUCAUUGGAAACUGGGGAACUUGAGUACAGAAGAGGAGAGCGGAAUUCCACGUGUAGCGGUGAAAUGCGUAGAUAUGUGGAGGAACACCAGUGGCGAAGGCGGCUCUCUGGUCUGUAAC